GAGAAGAACGUAGCGAAAUGCGAUAAGUAAUGUGAAUUGCAGAAUUCAGUGAAUCAUCGAAUCUUUGAACGCACAUUGCGCCCGCCAGUAUUCUGGCGGGCAUGCCUGUUCGAGCGUCAUUUCAACCAUCAAGCCCCCGGCUUGUGUUGGGGACCUGCGGCUGCCGCAGGCCCUGAAAACCAGUGGCGGGCUCGCUAGUCACUCCGAGCGUAGUAAUACAUCUCGCUCAGGGCGUGCUGCGGGUUCCGGCCGUUAAAAAGCCUUAUUUACCCAAGGUUGACCUCGGAUCAGGUAGGAAGACCCGCUGAACUUAAGCAUAUCAAUAAGCGGAGGA
rnacentral:misc_RNA from 1 species